UCCCCAAAAUCUCAGCUUAGUUUCACACUCAAAACUCUCGCUUUCCCUCUCACUUGCCCACCUACCAUAAAAAAUCAGAUCAACCCUACCCUACACUCGGUCUCUAGAAGAGAAGAGAAACCCCACGCUACUGCUUCUCUUUUGUUUGAUGAAGAUUUUACUGCUUUGAUUUUGAGGUAUGGAGAGGAGAGAAGCUGUGAAGGUUGAGAAAUUUGAUGGAUCUCCAGCAUUUAGUGCUACUAAUGAUCAUGUUCAAACUAGCUAUCCAUUUAUGCAGGGUCACUAUGGUUUUGACUUUGUUGAUGGAGAUAAGAACGCUUUAGGGUUCAUGGAGCUACUGGGUAUGCAAGACUUUAGUCCUUCUUUGCUUGAUAUGAUACAGGUACCGAUACCACCUGCGCAGGAUCCAAAUGUUCAUGUAGUUACGGAGUCGCCACCAGAGUUGUUGAAUCAGCCUGCUACACCUAACUCUUCAUCGAUUUCAUCGGCUUCUAGUGAAGGUUUGAAUGAUGAGCCUGUUAAUAAGAGUGUUGAUGACGAGGUAGAGGAGCAAGAAAAGAACAAGAAAGAGUUGAAACCAAAGAAGACAAAUCAGAAGAGACAGAGAGAGCCGAGGUUCGCAUUCAUGACAAAGAGCGAGGUUGAUCAUCUGGAAGAUGGGUACAGAUGGAGAAAGUACGGCCAAAAAGCUGUGAAAAAUAGCCCUUUUCCUAGGAGUUACUAUCGUUGCACCACUGCCUCGUGUAAUGUGAAGAAGAGAGUGGAGAGGUCUUUCAGUGAUCCAAGCGUGGUUGUGACCACUUAUGAAGGUCAACACACCCAUCCUAGCCCGGUCAUGCCGCGUCCAAGCUUUACUGGACCUGCAUCUGAUUCUGGUUUCUCGUCCACCGCUGCCUUUGUGAUGCCAAUGCAAAGGAGACUAUCUUUCUAUCAACAACAUCAAAGUCGACAACAACCACCUUUUGUCAACAGCUUCUCACCUUUGGGUUUUGGUUACAAUGGAAGCACCACAAAUGCUGCUGCUAUUAAUUAUCUACAAUAUGAGAAGCGCUUUUGCAGUAGCUCAGGGUCUACUUUACUCAAGGAUCAUGGGCUUCUUCAAGAUCUCGUCCCCUCCCAUAUGCUAAAGGAAGAGUAGAGGAGAAGUCUGUGUUACUGCUUUGUAGUUUCCCUAUAACUGACUUCUCUAAAAGAGUUGCAGAUGAAAGACCCCCUUAAUGAUAUGGCAUCAUGGUAUGUAAUGUCUUACUGACUUCCUGGUCGUAAUUUCUCUCGCAGACUUGCAGCUGUAGAAGAACUCAAACUUCUUCAUCUUACGGCUUUUUGGCGAGUAUCCAAAGGAAUGUGCAUUGAUUUCAAGGACUGAAGACUUUUGAGUGCUAGGGUUUAUUCUUGAGGAUGCAGUUUGCUAGGGAAGCUUUCUAGCUUCUCUCUUUGUCCGGGAAUCCGCAAAAUUAUUUGUUUUUCUUAGAAAAGGAACCCAGUCGUGAGAAUUUGGUGGAGAAAAUUAACGUGCUGUCUCUUCUGAAUAUGAACCGAGGGAAACAAAGAGGAAGAAUAUCUUAACCACUCCAGAGUCUGCUCCUAUUUUUAGCUUUUUUAAGUAAUGCUCUUUUGUUUUUUUUAGGCCGUGCCCAGGCCAUUUAUUAUUUCGGUUCCUUGAAGAAUGGUGAUUUAAAAAGGUAAAACUGCUUGACAGAGUCAAUUUCUUGCACACAUGUUGACAGAAUAUAGACUGCGUUUCAGUGAUUCUAAUUGGGGACCGUGAACUUAAAUAAAUCAAUGGAAAAAAUGGAUUGAUCA